UGGGGAAUUUUGGACAAUGGGCGAAAGCCUGAUCCAGCCAUGCCGCGUGUCUGAAGAAGGCCUUCGGGUUGUAAAGGACUUUUGUCAGGGAGGAAAUCCCUAGCGUUAAUACCGCUGGGGGAUGACAGUACCUGAAGAAUAAGCACCGGCUAACUACGUGCCAGCAGCCGCGGUAAUACGUAGGGUGCGAGCGUUAAUCGGAAUUACUGGGCGUAAAGCGUGCGCAGGCGGUUUGAUAAGCCAGAUGUGAAAUCCCCGAGCUCAACUUGGGAACUGCGUUUGGAACUGUCAGACUAGAGUGCGUCAGAGGGGGGUGGAAUUCCGCGUGUAGCAGUGAAAUGCGUAGAGAUGCGGAGGAACACCGAUGGCGAAGGCAGCCCCCUGGGAUGACACUGACGCUCAUGCACGAAAGCGUGGGGAGCAAACAGGAUUAGAUACCCUGGUAGUCCACGCCCUAAACGAUGUCGACUAGGUGUUCGGUGAGGAGACUCAUUGAGUACCGCAGCUAACGCGUGAAGUAAGNCCGCCUGGGGAGUACGGUCGCAAGAUUA
rnacentral:rRNA from 1 species